rnacentral:misc_RNA from 1 species
GAAAUGCGAUAAGUAAUGUGAAUUGCAGAAUUCAGUGAAUCAACGAAUCUUUGAACGCACAUUGCGCCCGCCAGUAUUCUGGCGGGUAUGCCUGUCCGAGCGUCAUUUCAACCAUCAAGCCCCCGGGCUUGUGUUGGGGACCUGCGGCUGCCCGCAGGCCCUGAAAACCAGUGGCGGGCUCGCUGUCACACCGAGCGUAGUAGCAAUCACCUCGCUCAGGGCGUGCUGCGGGUUCCGGCCGUUAAACAGCCUUACAAAACCCAAGGUUGACCUCGGAUCAGGUAGGAAGACCCGCUGAACUUAAGC